rnacentral:rRNA from 1 species
AUUGAACGCUGGCGGCAUGCCUUACACAUGCAAGUCGAACGGCAGCGCGGGGCAACCUGGCGGCGAGUGGCGAACGGGUGAGUAAUAUAUCGGAACGUGCCCUGGAGUGGGGAGUAACUAGCGAAGUUAACGUCUAUACCGCAUACGAUCUAAGGAGUGAAAGGUAGGGGGAGUCGCAAGACCUCAUGCUCCUGGAGCGGCCGAUAUCUGAUUAGCUAGUUGGNGGGGUUAAAGGGCCUACCAAGGCAUCGAUCAGUAGCUGGUCUGA